UACAACAGGGUUUCCGAAGCCGUGUAAGU
rnacentral:piRNA from 1 species